CACAAUUCUGCUUCAUAUACAUUUCAGUCCCAGAUACCAUUCUAUUAAACUCUGUUGCCAUCUGUUACAUGGCAACUAAAUGUAACGGAACACUGAUAGGACGGUUCAACCUCUACUGCUAUACCAACAGUGUCCACCUCUGAUGUUGUGGGUCAACGUAAUAAAAUAUGAAGCAUUACUUUUGGAGCAGCCUUCAUAAAAACAAGGAGAAACAUAAGAUGGAUUCAGACUAUCGGCUUCAUCUUUCCCUGGGAAACAGAAGAUCAAAACACUCUCAUAAUGAAAGGCAAUUGAAACAUAUCUGUGGGAAUAUAAAGGAUAUGCUUUUGGAAAAAAACAUAAAAUACUGAAUAUAUUGAUGUAAAAGCAGCAGGGAGAUGAGAGGAUGGAGGUGGAAACAGAUACAUUUAAGAAGAAAAACUGGAGUGUUCUGGAGAAAUUUGAAGACUCGCAGCUCUGAUUAUUACAUAUCACAGCAAGAAUAGCAUUCUUGAAAAGGUAAUCUAAGGCAUAGAAAACUCCAAGAGGACAGCAUUCCAGAAAAAAAAAUAUCUGGAAGGAACGUGUUUCCUGUAAGUCAUCAGGCUGUAGUAAGUGAACUAUUCAGAUUAAAU
rnacentral:lncRNA from 1 species